rnacentral:misc_RNA from 1 species
AGAAUGGACCAAUGAAGUACUGGAUUUCAACUUUACCCGCUAGCUUGGGUCCUAGAAAUUUAUUAUAGCAUUCACCCAAUACAUGUAAAAGACCAAAGCAACUGUAAAUUCUCUGGAAAAGGUAGUCCAUGCUCAGAGCACAAAUCACACUGCUAGAAGGUCAAAUGCAUCAAACUACCCCCACCAAAUAAUAUAUCACUUACUUUCUCCUAUAAUA